CUCCUUCCUGCUCAGCCACCUCUCUGAGGCUCCCUUCUCCCACCUUCAGGUUUCUAAAGUGGGAAUCAGAGGCCAGGGCCAGCAUCCCCCAUCCUGCAGGAAGCCCAUAUUUAGCUUCCAAAUGGUCCCGUCGGGGCCCCUCACCUGGUUUCAGCUCCCAGCUCAAGGCGAGAGAAGGUAUGGGAAGCUGCUUUGUACAACAAAGAAAGAAUAUGAAAGCUCAAGGGUGAAGGACCUGGACAGUCUGCGCUGAGGAAAACGGCAGAAAGAACUGAAGGAGUGGGCUGUUUGGCCUGGGGAAGGGACGCCUGUUGGUGGAAGGAAGACUCUGGGCAGCUGUGGGGCACCAGCUCUGCUGGCCUGGCAUUAGAUUCCAGGUUCUGGGGGGGAGCACUUUCUCAUGGUUGGGCCUCUCUGUGUAGAGAUGUGCAAGCAGGAGCUGGGGGACAGCCUUUCAGGACAGUCCAGAGGAGAUUCUCAAACUGGGCAAGAGGUUGAUCUCAGUUAGGGUCUUCUGAUGAAACCCCCAGAGCCUGGUGAGCUCUAGAGAUUCACCUUGCAGCUUGUUAAAAAUCCGUAUUCCUGGGACAGACAUCUAGAGUCUGAUUUAUGAAGAGAUUAAGGUGGGAAAAGGAUCUGUAGUUUUAAAAAGCUCCCCAGGUGGUUCCGGUGCAUAGUUCUAGAUUUACGUCUCUGUGGCUGCAAGUUUUAAGUUCCAGAGGGAAGAAGUCGUAUUUUAUACUUCACUGUGUCACUUCAGCACCUAGCUGAGGACUCUGUAUGUGGUAGGUAUUCAAGAAAUACUUGUUGAAGGGCAGGAGGGAAGAAGGAAGAAAAGAAAGAAGAAAGGGAGGGAGGAAGGAAGGAAAACUUUUGUCAUUAAAACAAGAAUCAGCAGAUUUAGAAGCUACUUCCCCUGGUGGACAAGAAUCCAAAUUCUAAAUUCAACCAGCUUUGAAUUUUGUAGGGAAGGGAGUUUUGGUCCUUUUGCUUAAGAAUGUGCCCUCAGUGGUUGCAAAUUCAAAUGUCUUCAGAGGCUGAGCAAAUAAUAUAAAUAUGAUAGGUGUAGAGUUGUAAGACAUAGCAAAUUAAAAUGCAGGACACCUUGUUAAAUUUGAAUUUCAGAUAAAUAACAAAUACAUUUCCAGUGUACGUAUAUCCCAAAUACUGCAUGGGACAUAUUUAUAUAAAAUAUUAUUUGUGGUUUUUCUGAAAUUUAAAUUUAAAUUGGAUGCCCUGUAUUUUAUCUGGCAACCCUAGAUGGGGAGUUGAGUGAAAAUGGAGAAGCUUGUGCCCAAUCUUUUCCUGCCAAAGACUUUGCUUCAUGUAUUUUGGGCUUUGUUGUUAUGUGCGUAUAUGUUAAUUGUUAUGUCUUCUUGCUGGAUGAAGGCUUUUAUCAUUAUACAGUGUCUUGCUUUGUCUCUAGUAAUAAUUUCUGUCUUAAAGUAUAUUUUAUCUAAUAGUUGUAUAGCUAUCCUAGCUUUCUUUUGGUUUGCAUAGUUUAUCUUUUUCUACCCUUUUACUUUCAACCUAUUGUGUAUUUGAAUUUUAAGUUUGUCUCUUGUAGAUGGAUAUAGUUGAAUCAUGUUUUUUCAAUUCAUUCUGCCAAUCUCUGUCCUUUGAUUGGAAUUUUUAGUUCUUUUACAUUUAAUGUAAUUACUGGAAGGCAUGAUUUAUAUUUGCCAUUUUGCUAUUCGUUUUCCAUAUAUCAUAUGUCUUUUUUCCCUUCUAUUCUCCCAUUAUGCCUUCUUUUGUGUCAAAUAAACAUUUUCCAGUGUACCAUUCUAAUUCCCUUGUUGAUUUUUCUUAUUGUAUAUUUUUUGGAGUUAUUUUCUUAGUGCUUGCUCUGGGGACUACAGUUAACAUCUUAUAACAAUCUAGUUCUGAUUAAUAACAACUUAAUUCAAUAGUAUACAAAACUUUUGCUCGUAUACAGCUCUUU